rnacentral:rRNA from 1 species
GCUUAGUGAGGCUUCCGGACUGGCCCAGAGAGGUCGGCAACGAUCACCGCCGGAUGAAAAGCUAGUCAAACUUGGUCAUUUAGAGGAAGUAAAAGUCGUAACAAGGUUUCCGUAGGUGAACCUGCGGAAGGAUCAUUAACAUGUUGGAGUGGCCUUCGGGCCGCGACCUCCAUAAACCCACCUCUGCGUACCUUCUCCUGUUGCUCCGCGAGCCAUCGAGGUUAACCGCCUCGGACGCCGGCCGCGAUGCUCUGGCAGUUGUCGCCGGCGGAGCGCCCGCGGGAGGUCUCCCAAACGAAACUCAAUUGUAAUACAUAUCAUCUGUCUGACUGUACAUAAUAAUAAAAGUUAAAACUUUCAACAACGGAUCUCUUGGUUCUCGCAUCGAUGAAGAACGCAGCGAAAUGCGAUAAGUAGUGUGAAUUGCAGAAUUCCGUGAAUCAUCGAAUCUUUGAACGCACAUUGCGCCUCCUGGUACUCCGGGAGGCAUGCCUGUCCGAGCGUCAUUAUAACCCUCUCGAGCUUAAUUGCUUGGUGUUGGGGCAGGACCGUCCACCCGCGUCGGUCCGCCUCGAAUUCCAAUGGCAGACGAUGGUGUCCACGUCAGCGUAGUGAGCAUUUUUGCGUCGCGAAGCGUAGUCACCCGUCCCGCCCACAUAAACCCUUCAACUCUAAGUGUUGACCUCGGAUCAGGUAGGGAUACCCGCUGAACUUAAGCAUAUCAAUAAGCGGAGGAAAAGAAACCAACAGGGAUUGCCUCAGUAACUGCGAGUGAAGCGGCAAGAGCUCAAAUUUGAAAUCUGGCGUCUUUGGGCGUCCGAGUUGUAAUUUGGAGAGGCAUCUUCGGAGAUGGGGCCGUCCUAAGUUCCUUGGAACAGGACGUCAUAGAGG